CAGGGUGCUAGAGUUCAAGAGAGAGUGCAUGCAGGGACUGUGUAACAUCAUCAGGAAAGUGCAGGACAAGAGCCCCCUCAAGUAUCUGACUGUUAGGCAGUUGGUGUGCCUGGAUCCGUCAGUAAUGUACAGAGAACCCGAAAGAUGCAGGAAUCACAUGAAAGGGCUGGUUCAGAGGUUUCUUCAGGAUAAACAGCUAACUGAUACUUCUGCAGGUAGGAAUAAGAGGCAAAUUAUAGACUUCACAAGAAUUUAUCCUCAAUCUGAUUUGCUGGUAAUGCCCAAUGAUUUAUCAAUGUUUUUCUCUAUUUUUUCUCAUCUGUUUUGUCAUAGGGGACGUCAUACUGCAGCAGUUUGACAGUCUCCUGUCCUUGGAGAGCAGGAGUGAGGACUUCCUCUCCUUUCCUCCCAUGCAGAAGAGGCUGGACGUCUUCCUGUGCAGUGCCAUGGAGCCUUAUCCAGAGCUGUGGGCCUUCUGCAAGAAGCUGCUCAUCCUCUCCCACGGCCAAGCUACGGUUGAACGUGGAUUCUCCAUCAAUAAAGAGGUUGAGUCAGAUAACUUGAAGGAGGACACUGUGGUCACACGGAGACUGGUGUGUGACUACAUCAUACAACAUGGAGGUGUUACCCAGGUUCCACUCAGUAAACAGCUACUGGCAAGUGUAGCAAGAGCUAGGACAAGGUAUCGUAUCCAUCUUGAGACCAAUAGAAAGAACAAGGAGGCAAAAGACCAGGCUCUCAAGAGGAAGGAGGCAGAGGACUGUCUUCAGGAGUUGAAGGUGAAGCGAAGAUGCAUACAGGAGGUAUCUGAGGGUCUGGCUAGGGAUGCGGACAGGCUGGCUGAGGAGGCUGAAGCGAAGGCAGGGAGCAAAAUGGCUGACCUGAUCACCAGGUCCAACAUCCUGCGGAGAGGCCAUAAGGAGAAGUUGGCAGAAAUGGCUCUCCUUGAUAAAGAGAUCACUGCUAAGAGUGCAGAACUUAGGGGUUGAUUGUGUGAUCGUAAUCUUAUUUAUUGUUGAGUUUAUUUUAAUUGUGUAUUGCUCAAGAGUGUACUCCCCAUAUUCCCAACAUGGAAUAAGUAGAUUGGUUAAUGUUAGCAAUGUUAAAAAAACAACUUAACUGUGUUAAGCAAUCUUUUUUUUUUUGUGGUCUGCUGAAAAUUUCUUUGGUUUUUCACACCUCUGUUUGGCUUGUCUGUGGUCUGUGCUGUGGUGUUGUAGCGUAAGUAGGCCUACUCACUAUUAUGCUGCAAUAUUACAUAAUUCUUCCAUAAUGCUUUACGCAGUCCACAUUUUCACAUUUGUUUGAGAAAUAAAUGAUCAAACAAAAAAAAGUGUUUUUCUUUG
rnacentral:lncRNA from 1 species